UACGGAAGGCAGCAGUGGGGAAUAUUGCACAAUGGGCGCAAGCCUGAUGCAGCCAUGCCGCGUGUAUGAAGAAGGCCUUCGGGUUGUAAAGUACUUUCAGUCGUGAGGAAGGUGUUAAGGUUAAUAACCUUAGCAAUUGACGUUAGCGACAGAAGAAGCACCGGCUAACUCCGUGCCAGCAGCCGCGGUAAUACGGAGGGUGCGAGCGUUAAUCGGAAUUACUGGGCGUAAAGGGCACGCAGGCGGUUAAUUAAGUUGGAUGUGAAAUCCCCGGGCUUAACCUGGGAAUGGCAUUCAAGACUGGUUAGCUAGAGUCUUGUAGAGGGGGUAGAAUUCCAUGUGUAGCGGUGAAAUGCGUAGAGAUGUGGAGGAAUACCGGUGGGCGAAGGCGGGCCCCUGGGACAAACGACUGACGCUCAUGUGCGAAAGCGUGGGGAGCAAACAGGGAUUAGAUACC
rnacentral:rRNA from 1 species